rnacentral:rRNA from 1 species
UACGAAGGGGGCUAGCGUUGUUCGGAUUUACUGGGCGUAAAGCGCACGUAGGCGGAUCGUUAAGUCAGGGGUGAAAUCCUGGAGCUCAACUCCAGAACUGCCUUUGAUACUGGCGAUCUUGAGUCCGGAAGAGGUGAGUGGAACUCCUAGUGUAGAGGUGGAAUUCGUAGAUAUUAGGAAGAACACCAGUGGCGAAGGCGGCUCACUGGUCCGGUACUGACGUCUGAGGUGCGAAAGCAUGGGGAGCGAACAGG